rnacentral:lncRNA from 1 species
AUAUUUGUGGAUGAUAGAAGAAGUAAACAAUUAGGAACAUUUUACAUCGUUCAACAUUCGUUUCCAGUUUUAGAUGUACAAGUUCAUAACCAGAAUGUCUAUGUGAUGACUGAGAAUACGGUAAGAUUGUGUACAAUAUAUGAAAUUGAUCAACUAAUAUAAUAAGUUUUGAAGUAACAUUAAUAAAUCUCUUCAAUUGCACAAUAAUAAAACUUCUAAAUCGCCAAUAAUGACGUCAGAGGGUAAAGCACGUUGCACUUCUCUUUGUAGGCAGUAAAACUGGUUCCUUUUAAUGUUAUUACUUAGUAGUAAUUUUAAUUAUAGCUGUAGUGUUUACAAGCCUGUUUGCUUUUACUUACUAACUGGGAGCGGUUGUAGGACGUUGCACUUUGGUGUUAUACUGCGUUAAAAAUAUUGUAACACACACAUGUAAUUGUAUUUAAGGUCAUAAAUAUCGCUGAUAUUGAGCCAUGUCCCUCAGAUGUACUUUGCAUGGAAUGUAUGACAUCCGAUAAUCCGGCUUGUGGAUGGGACAUUUUAAGUGCUAGGUAUUUAUCAUAUAGAUACCGACAGGAGAAUCAUAUAACAUAGUUUUUUCCAUUUAAUUGGUUGGUACUUUAAUCCAUUGUUUCAUAUAACUUUUACCUGAAUCAUAAUAUUUUUUGGGUUAAACUUUUACGUUAAAUUUUUUCAUGUAUGCACUAAACGAGCGUCAGUAUGAUAGAAACAGUGUAACAAAUAUCUUUUGAUCAAUCUCCGAUUGGAACCCUGGUGGCAAAAUAUAUUUAAACUGGUGUCUGAAUAAUCUACAUAAGAUUCAUUGAUUUCAUGAAAUUUGGCAAAAAAUCAGAUGGCAAUAGUAGUCUGUCGAUAUUCUUAAUGUAGUGUAUGACAAAAUUAUUGAUUUAAGGAUCGUAAAACGAAGGUACAAAACACCAGAGGUAACUCGAAAUGGCUAACAUUAAAUACAUCGCCAGAUUAUGCAAUUUCUGAUAUAGAUGAAAACUCAUUUGACAGCUACGUAAACUUUUACAGCAUUGCGCAAUUUAUAUUGCUGAGGGCUGCCAGCUUAUGCUCAACUGAAAGUCUAUUACAAAUUGAAUCAUUCUUUUGAGAGCAACAGUGAAAUUAUAUACAUGUACUUUAGAGGUACUUAAAACAGUAAGAAUAUUUACUUGAAAAACAAAAAUAGUAAAACUGUAUUUCAUAAAAAAAAAAAAUAUUCCCAACGUGGAUGCAUGAACAUAAUUUAAACGGGACGAUUGAGAAACAAACCAAUCUGAAUAUAAAAACGACUUUUAGUAAACAACUGAUAUCAUGACGGUUUGAUUUUUCGGGGAUUAUUUUGUUUUUUUGUUUUUUUAGGGGUUUUUUUUUUGCUGGUGUAAGAUGUCAGGUUUUUUACUUUACCUGAACAUGUCGUAAACCAUAUGUUAUGCUAUACAUAAAAAAUAAAAUAUUGUUACAUUUCUAUUUCUCUUUCAACGAUAGUAUAUAAAUAGAACUUAUAUUUAAGUUAAACAUGCAGAUAAAGUAUACAAUGUAUACAAUCAGAUAAUGUGAUAUGAUUGUCAAUGAAACAACAAUCCACCAAGAACAACUUCAAAAAGGUAUAAGCAAUUGCUUGUGACGAUAUUUUUUAAAGCGUGUGUAAUUACAAAAAAAACCGCAUAAAUAGUCAUUAACAGUUACUCAAUUAGAAUCAAUAAGAGCUUUACGUGUACACGAUGUUAUUUAGACAAAGCCAAAAAAUAAACGUUAAAUCACCUUUCACUUAGAAUACAGUUCCAAUUUUAAGAUGAAAAUGCAUAAAGAAUAAAUUCAAUAUGUCAUUAGCAAUGAAAACUAAAGAUCGGACUGAAAUUGGUAGACAUUCUUUCCUUAGAACGAACGAAAGGGGAAGGAAAAUGUUUGCCUUCUCACAGGUUAUUUUUAAGAUACGUGGAAAAAGAGAUCUUAUCAAACAAAAGUUUUCCUAUUUAAUUAAAUGGUCGUUUGGUAAAUCUGAAUGCAAAUAGAUUUGCUGUAACUCAUUUAAAGCUUUCUUCUUUAAUGAGAAGUGUAAAUAUGCUUGAUAUACGUACUAACUGAAGGUGUGAUGAGAUAAUUGAAGCCUUGAUAAUAUAAUUUUAUGUACGUUUCGGCAAAAAAGCUUAUCCACAGGUUGUAGGUAUUGCUAUGGGCACUUAUUGCGCCCCUUUGAUAGAAAACUUGUUUUAUACUGUUAUGGAUCACAGAUUAUGACCUAAAUCAAAAAAGAACCCUCUUAAUUGCAUUUAAGUGAUAAAUUUUACAACACUUGCAGUUUUAUUGAUGAUAGGUUUUUUUUAAAUAAUCAGGAAUUUUCUACAUAUACUACCGACAUUUACCCAAAGGAACUUAUUUGAAAUAAAUCAAAUUUAAACGGUAAUAACUGUCUUUUCUUAGAUUUAGAUAUUUAAGUUUUACACGGGAAACUCCACACUUAAAUUGACGACAAAAGUGGCGAUCUUUCGGAUGGUGAUGUUCCUUUUGCACCAUCUUACGAUGUUUAUAUAUCACAACUCGUUCGCUAUGACCGUGUCUGUUUUGAAUUUUCUUAUUUUAAUGAACGUAAUCUAUGUUUUACUGGUGAUUAUUAAGACAGGAAUUUCAUGACCACAUACAUUAAGAGAUUUACUUAAUUCUUCCAUAGAUAAAUAGAUUUGGUUUUGAAGUUUGGUUGCACCUGUAGAAAUCUUAUUUCUUACGGGAUAGCACAUCCUCAAUUUUACGGAGAUGUUGUUAACCGUGCCCAAAACUUUAAAAACUAUCCUGGCAAACUUAAAUAAAUUAAAUUCUGAAAUGUUACAAAUUUAACACUUUAAUUAGAUCUUUAAAUUUUCUUUUUAUUGUUAUAAAUAUUAAUUCGGCUAUCAGUGAAUUCAAAGCAAUCUAUAUAUAACUGUUAUAUACAUAUGCACUGUCAUUGAUCUACAAUCUGUCGUUACCUGAAACAAUUGGAUUUUAGAUGUUUAUUGAUUGAUAAGUUAGUCUUAUGUGGUUUGAGAGGUUUACAGACCCCUCAAAUGGUAUGUGCAAGACAUUAGGACUGUUUAAUGUGGGAAAAACAAAGAAAACACUCUCAUGAUUUAAUGCCGUUAUUCCGAUCAGAAGUAGUUAGUUACUUAUCCAACCACACAUGCAAACGAAUGUCAUUCAUAGGAAAAGGUUUAACUGCGGAAUUGAAAAUUGUUGACCAUAUUUCAAUACACUAUGCACGUUCCAAUUUUUAAAACAAUUGCAUCAAUCGGUAAAACACAUAUAUAUAACAUGUACAAUACAGCAAAAAAAUUGCCACUCUUUUAUCAAGUUAACCUUGUGAGUGUUUUUUAUCCUUUUUAAAUGUAAAAAUUCAUCAGUCUUACAAUACUUAUACUUAUGUAUUUUGUAUAAUAAAGAAAGUUCUAAAUUAUAGCUGCAGGGUCAACACUGACAACUCUACUUGGUGACUGCCAUCUCUAUGGUAGACAAUGUCUUAAAGUCAAAGCAAAGGAAUUGGUGAUUGGUGAAACAACAGACAAUG